UGGCAACUGAUUCAUAUUUAUGAUGUUGCUGUGUCCCAAGGUCAUGUGAUCCUCUUUUGUGAUCUGACACCGUCAGUGGCACAGCCAAAUUCACUUAACCAGGUUACUAACAUCAGCUACAGGGAAUCACUAAACAACUUAAGCAAGAAAGGUUGUAAAAUGGAGCAAACAUCUCACUUAACAUGUAUAUCCAUGAAA